rnacentral:rRNA from 1 species
AGAGUUUGAUCAUGGCUCAGAUUGAACGCUGGCGGCAGGCCUAACACAUGCAAGUCGAACGGUAACAGGAAACAGCUUGCUGUUUCGCUGACGAGUGGCGGACGGGUGAGUAAUGUCUGGGAAACUGCCUGAUGGAGGGGGAUAACUACUGGAAACGGUAGCUAAUACCGCAUAACGUCGCAAGACCAAAGAGGGGGACCUUCGGGCCUCUUGCCAUCGGAUGUGCCCAGAUGGGAUUAGCUUGUUGGUGGGGUAACGGCUCACCAAGGCGACGAUCCCUAGCUGGUCUGAGAGGAUGACCAGCCACACUGGAACUGAGACACGGUCCAGACUCCUACGGGAGGCAGCAGUGGGGAAUAUUGCACAAUGGGCGCAAGCCUGAUGCAGCCAUGCCGCGUGUAUGAAGAAGGCCUUCGGGUUGUAAAGUACUUUCAGCGGGGAGGAAGGGAGUAAAGUUAAUACCUUUGCUCAUUGACGUUACCCGCAGAAGAAGCACCGGCUAACUCCGUGCCAGCAGCCGCGGUAAUACGGAGGGUGCAAGCGUUAAUCGGAAUUACUGGGCGUAAAGCGCACGCAGGCGGUUUGUUAAGUCAGAUGUGAAAUCCCCGGGCUCAACCUGGGAACUGCAUCUGAUACUGGCAAGCUUGAGUCUCGUAGAGGGGGGUAGAAUUCCAGGUGUAGCGGUGAAAUGCGUAGAGAUCUGGAGGAAUACCGGUGGCGAAGGCGGCCCCCUGGACGAAGACUGACGCUCAGGUGCGAAAGCGUGGGGAGCAAACAGGAUUAGAUACCCUGGUAGUCCACGCCGUAAACGAUGUCGACUUGGAGGUUGUGCCCUUGAGGCGUGGCUUCCGGAGCUAACGCGUUAAGUCGACCGCCUGGGGAGUACGGCCGCAAGGUUAAAACUCAAAUGAAUUGACGGGGCCCGCACAAGCGGUGGAGCAUGUGGUUUAAUUCGAUGCAACGCGAAGAACCUUACCUGGUCUUGACAUCCACGGAAGUUUUCAGAGAUGAGAAUGUGCCUUCGGGAACCGUGAGACAGGUGCUGCAUGGCUGUCGUCAGCUCGUGUUGUGAAAUGUUGGGUUAAGUCCCGCAACGAGCGCAACCCUUAUCCUUUGUUGCCAGCGGUCCGGCCGGGAACUCAAAGGAGACUGCCAGUGAUAAACUGGAGGAAGGUGGGGAUGACGUCAAGUCAUCAUGGCCCUUACGACCAGGGCUACACACGUGCUACAAUGGCGCAUACAAAGAGAAGCGACCUCGCGAGAGCAAGCGGACCUCAUAAAGUGCGUCGUAGUCCGGAUUGGAGUCUGCAACUCGACUCCAUGAAGUCGGAAUCGCUAGUAAUCGUGGAUCAGAAUGCCACGGUGAAUACGUUCCCGGGCCUUGUACACACCGCCCGUCACACCAUGGGAGUGGGUUGCAAAAGAAGUAGGUAGCUUAACCUUCGGGAGGGCGCUUACCACUUUGUGAUUCAUGACUGGGGUGAAGUCGUAACAAGGUAACCGUAGGGGAACCUGCGGUUG